rnacentral:rRNA from 1 species
UACGUAGGGGGCAAGCGUUGUCCGGAAUCAUUGGGCGUAAAGCGCAUGUAGGCGGUUCGAUAAGUCUGCUGUGAAAGUCCAAGGCUCAACCUUGGGAUGCCGGUGGAUACUGUCGGGCUAGAGGCCGGAAGAGGCGAGUGGAAUUCCUGGUGUAGCGGUGGAAUGCGCAGAUAUCAGGAGGAACACCAAUGGCGAAGGCAGCUCGCUGGGACGGUACUGACGCUGAGGUGCGAAAGCGUGGGGAGCGAACAGG